UGGCGAACGGGUGAGUAACACGUGGGUAAUCUGCCCUGCACUCUGAGAUAAGCCUGGGAAACUGGGUCUAAUACUGGAUAUGACCUUUCUCCUUAUGGGGUUUGGUGGAAAGUUUUUCGGUGUAGGAUGAGCCCGCGGCCUAUCAGCUUGUUGGUGGGGUGAUGGCCUACCAAGGCGACGACGGGUAGCCGGCCUGAGAGGGUGAUCGGCCACAUUGGGACUGAGAUACGGCCCAG
rnacentral:rRNA from 1 species